rnacentral:rRNA from 1 species
CGCCUGUUUAUCAAAAACAUCUCUUCUCGUUAGUUUUUGAAGUAUGGCCUGCCCACUGACCUUGAAUGUUGAAGGGCCGCGGUAUUUUGACCGUGCAAAGGUAGCAUAGUCAUUAGUUCUUUAAUUGUGAUCUGGUAUGAAUGGCUUGACGAGGUAUAAGCUGUCUUAAUUUUGAAUUGUUUAUUGAAUUUGUUCUUUGAGUUAAAAUUCUUAGAUGUUUUUAUGGGACGAGAAGACCCUAUAGAGUUUGACAUUUAUUACGGUCUCUUUCUGUUUGUGAGGGUUCACUAGGGCUGUCUAAUAUGUUUUGUUGGGGUGAUGGGAGGGAUAUUAUUUAACCCCUCCUUUGUGUUGUUAUAUUUAUUUAUAUUUGCUUGAUCCAUUUAUUUUGAUUGUAAGAUUAAAUUACCUUAGGGAUAACAGCGUAA